AUUGAACGCUGGCGGCAGGCCUAACACAUGCAAGUCGAGCGGAUGAAGGGAGCUUGCUCCUGGAUUCAGCGGCGGACGGGUGAGUAAUGCCUAGGAAUCUGCCUGGUAGUGGGGAUAACGUCCGGAAACGGGCGCUAAUACCGCAUACGUCCUGAGGGAGAAAGUGGGGGAUCUUCGGACCUCACGCUAUCAGAUGAGCCUAGGUCGGAUUAGCUAGUUGGUGGGGUAAAGGCCUACCAAGGCGACGAUCCGUAACUGGUCUGAGAGGAUGAUCAGUCACAUUGGAACUGAGACACGGUCCAGACUCCUACGGGAGGCAGCAGUGGGGAAUAUUGGACAAUGGGCGAAAGCCUGAUCCAGCCAUGCCGCGUGUGUGAAGAAGGUCCUCGGAUUGUAAAGCACUUUAAGUUGGGAGGAAGGGCAGUAAGUUAAUACCUUGCUGUUUUGACGUUACCAACAGAAUAAGCACCGGCUAACUUCGUG
rnacentral:rRNA from 1 species